rnacentral:rRNA from 1 species
GGGAUUGCCUCAGUAACUGCGAGUGAAGCGGCAAAAGCUCAAAUUUGGAAUCUGGCGUCGUUCGACGUCCGAGUUGUAAUUUGGAGGGGCAUCUUCGGGGCCGACGCCGUCCCAAGUUCCUUGGAACAGGACGCCACAGAGGGUGAGAAUCCCGUGUAUGGACGGCCGAAUCGGUCCCACGUGAAGUGCCUCCGACGAGUCGAGUUGUUUGGGAAUGCAGCUCAAAAUUGGUGGUAAAUUUCAUCUAAAGCUAAAUAUUGGCGAGAGACCGAUAGCGCACAAGUAGAGUGAUCGAAAGAUGAAAAGCACUUUGAAAAGAGAGUUAAAAAGUACGUGAAAUUGUUGAAAGGGAAGCGUUUGAGGCCAGACUCGACCGGUGGCGAUCAGCUGUGCUUCUGCACUGUGCAAUGGCCUCCGGUCGGGCCAGCAUCGGUUCCGGCGGCGGGAUAAAAGGCGUAGGGAAUGUACCUGUCGACUCACCGCACAGGGUUAUAGUCCACGCCACAAUGCCGUCUGCGGGGACCGAGGACCGCGCCCUAUGGGCAAGGAUGCUGGCGUAAUGGCCUUAAGCGACCCGUCUUGAAACACGGACCAAGGAGUCUAACAUCCAUGCGAGUGUUCGGGUGGAAAACCCUUGCGCGAAAUGAAAGUGAAUGC